UACAGAGGGGGCAAGCGUUGUUCGGAAUUACUGGGCGUAAAGGGCGCGUAGGCGGCCUUCUAAGUCGAACGUGAAAUCCCUGGGCUCAACCCAGGAACUGCGUCCGAUACUGGCAGGCUUGAAUCCGGGAGAGGGAUGUGGAAUUCCAGGUGUAGCGGUGAAAUGCGUAGAUAUCUGGAGGAACACCGGUGGCGAAGGCGGCAUCCUGGACCGGUAUUGACGCUGAGGCGCGAAAGCCAGGGGAGCAAACGGG
rnacentral:rRNA from 1 species